GAUGAACGCUGGCGGCGUGCUUAACACAUGCAAGUCGAACGAGAAAUGGAGACGGAAACCUUCGGGCGGAAGGCUUCAUUUCGAGUGGCGGACGGGUGAGUAACGCGUGGGUAACCUGCCUCAUACAGGGGGAUAACAGUUUGAAACGACUGUUAAUACCGCAUAAGGCCACAGCACCGCAUGGUGCGGGGGUAAAAACUCCGGUGGUAUGAGAUGGACCCGCGUUCGAUUAGCCAGUUGGCGGGGUAACGGCCCACCAAAGCGACGAUCGAUAGCCGAUCUGAGAGGAUGACCGGCAACAUUGGGACUGAGACACGGCCCAAACUCCUACGGGAGGCAGCAGUGGGGAAUAUUGCACAAUGGGGGAAACCCUGAUGCAGCGACGCCGCGUGAGUGAAGAAGUACUUCGGUAUGUAAAGCUCUAUCAGCAGGGAAGAAAAUGACGGUACCUGAGUAAGAAGCCCCGGCUAACUACGU
rnacentral:rRNA from 1 species